rnacentral:rRNA from 1 species
UACGUAGGGGGCAAGCGUUGUCCGGAUUUAUUGGGCGUAAAGAGCGUGUAGGCGGUCAGGUAGGUCCGUUGUGAAAACUCGAGGCUCAACCUCGAGACGCCGAUGGAAACCAUCUGACUAGAGUCCGGAAGAGGAGACUGGAAUUCCUGGUGUAGCGGUGAAAUGCGCAGAUAUCAGGAGGAACACCGAUGGCGAAGGCAGGUCUCUGGGCCACUACUGACGCUGAGAAGCGAAAGCAUGGGGAGCGAACAGG